GAACUAGCAAGAGAUACAAAGGUUUCAGCGAACAUUCAACGCUGUCGGUGAGUUUUGGCAGUCAGGUUAAACCAUCGACCGUUGAGUGUACCCUGCAACCUUGGUAACACCUGAACUGAAGG
rnacentral:pre_miRNA from 14 species